CCCACUGUUUCCACUGUUUCUACUGUUUCCACUGUUUCCACUGUUUCUACUGUUCCCACUGUUUCCACUGUUUCCACUGUUUCUACUGUUUCCACUGUUUCCACUGUUUCCACUGUUUCCACUGUUUCCACUGUUUCUACUGUUUCCACUGUUUCUACUGUUUCCACUGUUCCCACUGUUUCCACUGUUUCCACUUCCACCUAACAAUGUAUAUAAACCCUGGAUUAACUGAUUCUAUGUAUUGGCCAUUGAGAGGUUUUGAAGCCACCGGUCGGCCAUAUUGGUACUGCCCAGUAGGAGCUGGAUUAACUGAUUCUAUGUAUUGGCCAUUGAGAGGUUUUGAAGCCACCGGUCGGCCAUAUUGGUACUGCCCAGUAGGAGCUGGAUUAACUGAUUCUAUGUAUUGGCCAUUGAGAGGUUUUGAAGCCACCGGUCGGCCAUAUUGGUACUGCCCAGUAGGAGCUGGAUUAACUGAUUCUAUGUAUUGGCCAUUGAGAGGUUUUGAAGCCACCGGUCGGCCAUAUUGGUACUGCCCAGUAGGAGCUGGAUUAACUGAUUCUAUGUAUUGGCCAUUGAGAGGUUUUGAAGCCACCGGUCGGCCAUAUUGGUACUGCCCAGUAGGAGCUGGAUUAACUGAUUCUAUGUAUUGGCCAUUGAGAGGUUUUGAAGCCACCGGUCGGCCAUAUUGGUACUGCCCAGUAGGAGCUGGAUUAACUGAUUCUAUGUAUUGGCCAUUGAGAGGUUUUGAAGCCACCGGUCGGCCAUAUUGGUACUGCCCAGUAGGAGCUGUUCUCCAUAGGAAUGAAUGAAAUUCUACCCUAUUUCAAUUACAUGUUUUUAAGUAUUUUGGGGUUGUAGUUGGGACAGUAACAUUAGUCAUCUCAGAAAAUGAUAUGUUAAAUUCACAUAAUAUAAUUUAAAAGUAUACAUCAGGAUGUCUGUAAUAUAGAACGUGUGGCAAAAGAUAAUGUAUGUUUACAUUUGAGUAAUUUAGGAGACUCUGUUAUCCAGAGAGACUUCCAGGAAGUACAUUCAUCUCCAGAUAGCUAAGUGGACCAGUCAUAGUCAGUACAUUCAUCUUCAGAUAGCUAGGUGGACCAGUCAUAGUCAGUACAUUCAUCUACAGAUAGCUAGGUGGACCAGACAUAGUCAGUACAUUCAUCUCCAGAUAGCUAGGUGGACCAGUCAUAGUCAGUACAUUCAUCUCCAGAUAGCUAAGUGGACCAGUCAUAGUCAGUACAUUCAUCUACAGAUAGCUAGGUGGACCAGUCAUAGUCAGUACAUUCAUCUCCAGAUAGCUAGGUGGACCAGUCAUAGUCAGUACAUUCAUCUCCAGAUAGCUAGGUGGACCAGUCAUAGUCAGUACAUUCAUCUCCAGAUAGCUAGGUGGACCAGUCAUAGUCAGUACAUUCAUCUCCAGAUAGCUAGGUGGACCAGUCAUAGUCAGUACAUUCAUCUCCAGAUAGCUAGGUGGACCAGUUAUAGUCAGGACAUUCAUCUCCAGAUAGCUAGGUGGACCAGUCAUAGUCAGUACAUUCAUCUCCAGAUAGCUAGGUGGACC